UGGCUCAGGAUGAACGCCGGCGGUGUGCUUAAUACAUGCAAGUCGUACGCACUGGCCCAACUGAUUGAUGGUGCUUGCACCUGAUUGACGUUGAUCACCAGUGAGUGCGGACGGGUGAGUAACACGUAGGUAACCUGCCCCGGAGCGGGGGAUAACAUUUGGAAACAGAUGCUAAUACCGCAUACNAACAAAAGCCACAUGGCUUUUGUUUGAAAGAUGGCCUUGGCUAUCACUCUGGGAUGGACCUGCGGUGCAUUAGCUAGUUGGUAAGGUAACGGCUUACCAAGGCGAUGAUGCAUAGCCGAGUUGAGAGACUGAUCGGCCACAAUGGAACUGAGACACGGUCCAUACUCCUACGGGAGGCAGCAGUAGGGAAUCUUCCACAAUGGGCGCAAGCCUGAUGGAGCAACACCGCGUGAGUGAAGAAGGGUUUCGGCUCGUAAAGCUCCGUUGUUGGAGAAGAACGUGCGUGAGAGUAACUGUUCACGCAGUGACGGUAUCCAACCAGAAAGUCACGGCUAACUACGUGCCAGCAGCCGCGGUAAUACGUAGGUGGCAAGCGUUAUCCGGAUUUAUUGGGCGUAAAGCGAGCGCAGGCGGUUGCUUAGGUCUGAUGUGAAAGCCUUCGGCUUAACCGAAGAAGUGCAUCGGAAACCGGGCGACUUGAGUGCAGAAGAGGACAGUGGAACUCCAUGUGUAGCGGUGGAAUGCGUAGAUAUAUGGAAGAACACCAGUGGCGAAGGCGGCUGUCUGGUCUGCAACUGACGCUGAGGCUCGAAAGCAUGGGUAGCGAACAGGAUUAGAUACCCUGGUAGCCCAUGCCGUAAACGAUGAGUGCUAGGUGUUGGAGGGUUUCCGCCCUUCAGUGCCGGAGCUAACGCAUUAAGCACUCCGCCUGGGGAGUACGACCGCAAGGUUGAAACUCAAAGGAAUUGACGGGGGCCCGCACAAGCGGUGGAGCAUGUGGUUUAAUUCGAAGCUACGCGAAGAACCUUACCAGGUCUUGACAUCUUGCGCUAACCUUAGAGAUAAGGCGUUCCCUUCGGGGACGCAAUGACAGGUGGUGCAUGGUCGUCGUCAGCUCGUGUCGUGAGAUGUUGGGUUAAGUCCCGCAACGAGCGCAACCCUUGUUACUAGUUGCCAGCAUUAAGUUGGGCACUCUAGCGAGACUGCCGGUGACAAACCGGAGGAAGGUGGGGACGACGUCAGAUCAUCAUGCCCCUUAUGACCUGGGCUACACACGUGCUACAAUGGACGGUACAACGAGUUGCAAGCUCGCGAGAGUAAGCUAAUCUCUUAAAGCCGUUCUCAGUUCGGACUGUAGGCUGCAACUCGCCUACACGAAGUCGGAAUCGCUAGUAAUCGCGGAUCAGCAUGCCGCGGUGAAUACGUUCCCGGGCCUUGUACACACCGCCCGUCACACCAUGGGAGUUUGUAACGCCCAAAGUCGGUGGCCUAACCUUUAUGGAGGGAGCCGCCUAAGGCGGGACAGAUGACUGGGGUGAAGUCGUA
rnacentral:rRNA from 1 species